UACGGGGGGGGGCAAGCGUUGUUCGGAAUUACUGGGCGUAAAGGGCGCGUAGGCGGCCAUCUAAGUCAGACGUGAAAUCCCUCGGCUCAACCGAGGAACUGCGUCUGAUACUGGAAGGCUUGAAUCCGGGAGAGGGAUGUGGAAUUCCAGGUGUAGCGGUGAAAUGCGUAGAUAUCUGGAGGAACACCGGUGGCGAAGGCGGCGAUCCUGGACCGGUAUUGACGCUGAGGCGCGAAAGCUAGGGGAGCAAACGGG
rnacentral:rRNA from 1 species